GUGUUGUGCAUUCCAUUCGUAUAACUUUUAUGAAGUGAUACUCAAAAUUUGAUAUUGAUGCGAAAAUCUCCAUUAUUUUCAAGACGUCUGGUUGAAGUUUGAAGAAAUACUUAUGUUUGUAAUAACAGUUCAAAAUUUGAUGUCCUUGCAGAAUUGCAAACUAGGCCUGUUUAACCCGUCGCCAUAUAGGUCAUUCGAAAGUCAUUCAAAUGGAAAAAAAAUGAUAUCAAAUGUUAACUAUCGCACUACAUGCUUCUGAUUUUUUCCCAACUUUGCUUUGUAUCAACGUCAUUUGGAUAUUUUUUUAUUUUAAAGAAAAAUGCACGCACUAUGCAAAAUCAACAUCGGGUAGAACACUUUAAAAUAACUAAUGAAAAACCCACCUUAUCAUGACAUCAUGAAAUAUAUGUAUAUACGUACUACGCAUUAUAAUAUUAAAAGAACUAGUUCAAAACUUGAAAAAAAAGAAAACAUUUGACUAGAUACUUAUAUGAAACAUGAAUCAACGAACAAAAAAAAAAAACGAAAAAGAAAACGUUAGGUUACUAAGGUUAGUUAACCUAAUUAAUGAACAACCUAUGAAGAAUACAACAUAGUUUUAGUGUUGAACAUCUGUUAAAGAGUGAAUAAAGAGUGAAUAAGCAUCCAGCUUGGUAUGCAAAUGUUCUUCCUCAGGUAAAAUAACUUUCCACACGUUAACCACAUGUGCACUUUCUAAAAGCAUUAUUUUUAUUUCAUCACUGUCAGUAACUGGUAUAUCGACAACCCGCCUAUUUUCUGUAAAAGACGUUGGUUCUCAUAAUUAAUGAAGUAAUUUUCCAAUUGAAAAUGAGUUAUAAUCUAUAAAUUAUUUUUUAUUAAUUGUUUACUACUGAAAUUAGAAAAUACAAACACAUGUAUAACAUAUAAAGAAUACUAGUAUUCAAUAAGUGGCAUUGAUGAGAUAAAUGAAUUAUGACUG
rnacentral:misc_RNA from 1 species